ACGAACGCUGGCGGCGUGCUUAACCCCUGCCAGUCGAACGGAAAGGCCCUGCUUUUGCGGGGUGCUCGAGUGGCGAACGGGUGAGUAACACGUGAGUAACCUGCCCUUGACUUUGGGAUAACUUCAGGAAACUGGGGCUAAUACCGGAUAGGAGCUCCUGCUGCAUGGUGGGGGUUGGAAAGUUUCGGCGGUUGGGGAUGGACUCGCGGCUUAUCAGCUUGUUGGUGGGGUAGUGGCUUACCAAGGCUUUGACGGGUAGCCGGCCUGAGAGGGUGACCGGCCACAUUGGGACUGAGAUACGGCCCAGACUCCUACGGGAGGCAGCAGUGGGGAAUAUUGCACAAUGGGCGGAAGCCUGAUGCAGCAACGCCGCGUGCGGGAUGACGGCCUUCGGGUUGUAAACCGCUUUCGCCUGUGACGAAGCGUGAGUGACGGUAAUGGGUAAAGAAGCACCGGCUAACUACGUG
rnacentral:rRNA from 1 species